UUAUUCACUUCCAUUUUUUCUACGCCAUUUUUUCUCCGUUGAAGAACUGAUAGCUAGGUUUGCUCUCGCCUCUUCUCUGUUACCAUCUCGUCUCUUCUCUAUCUCCUCCAUCUCUUUCCCAUUGUCAUCUCGUCCAUCUCUUCUCUGUUGAGGGAGAGAGUUCUAAGAAAAAGGUAAUGUUUUUACGAUAAGAUUAAGGUUUCAAUGAGAAUCGAUGAUGGAGAUAAAGAUCAUAAAUCUGAGAUUUAGAGAAAUGGAAUGGAAUCAGGGAUAGUUGAUGGUCAUGGUGUCGAUCCGUCUGUUGAUUCAAACUCAACAGAAAGUUGGCUUACAGAUUUGAUCUGCGCGCCAGCUUCCUGAGCUUAAGAAAGCCUCCUUGUGCUGCCAUUCUUCAAUCUAAAAUUCAACAAGCAAGCUUAAGUAAGAGCUUGCCAGUAGUAAAUCAGUUGCGACUGUUUAGGGUUCUUAUGAAUGAUGUCAUCUUUGAUAUCGUAGCUGAUGCAUUGCAGUCAGAAGAUAAAAGGCUUGUAUUAAUUGGGACCGAUAUCCUUUUCUUUUCCUUAACCAGGAUGCCAACCUUCUCAGGGCGUAUACUAUCCGACAGGAAGGCCGUCCACUUCUUGGACUUCUGGUAAUGACAUCGACGUAUGUUUGAGACCGUUAAUAGAUGAGCUCAAGGAAUUAUGGGAGGCAGGGUUAGAUACAUAUGAUCCUCAAGAAAUGAAAUGUUCAAUCUGCGUGUGGGAUUACUAUUGGACUAUAAGUGAUUAUCCUGGAAUUGCAAUGCUCUCGGGAUGGAGUAAUAAAGGGAAAUUGGCAUAUACAGGUGCUUGUUUCUUUGAAUACAAGGGAAUGGCAUGAUGCCUUUUUUUUUGUUUUCUCAGGUGUGUUCCCAGUAAUUCCAAAACUUUACACAGGCACUUUAGUUGUUUUUAAGCUUAGUAGUUUUACUACCUUUUUGAACUCUCUGGGUGUUGUUCUGUUGCCCAGAUUUAUGUUUCAGAAACAGUGAAACUUAACAUGGAAAACUUUGUAAAACUUUGUAUGAAUGCAAGUUUCUUUAAUUAAAUUUAGUUUCUUAUUUUA